AUUGAACGCUGGCGGCAUGCUUUACACAUGCAAGUCGAACGGUAACAGGCCUUCGGGUUCUGACGAGUGGCGAACGGGUGCGUAAUGCAUCGGAACGUGCCCAGAGGUGGGGGAUAACGCAGCGAAAGGUGGGCUAAUACCGCAUGUUAUCUGAUACUGAAAACGGGGGACCAAGCAGCAAUUUUUGGCCUCGCGCCACUGGAGCGGCCGAUGUCAGAUUAGGUAGUUGGUGGGGUAAAGGCCUACCAAGCCGACGAUCUGUAGCUGGUCUGAGAGGACGACCAGCCACACUGGGACUGAGACACGGUCCAGACUCCUACGGGAGGCAGCAGUGGGGAAUUUUGGACAAUGGGCGCAAGCCUGAUCCAGCCAUGCCGCGUGCGUGAAGAAGGCCUUCGGGUUGUAAACCGCUUUUGUACGGAACGAAAAGGAUCUGGCUAAUACCUGGGGCUGAUGACGGUACCGUAAGAAUAAGCACCGGCUAACUUCGUG
rnacentral:rRNA from 1 species